rnacentral:rRNA from 1 species
GUCUACGGCCAUGCCAUCCUGAACAAGCCCAAUCCCGUCUGAUCUCAGAAGCUAAGCAGGGUCAGGCCUGGUUAAUACUUGGAUGGGAGGCCACCUAGGAAGACCAGAUGCUAUAGGUG